rnacentral:rRNA from 1 species
AUCUAUGGCCAUGCCACCCUGAACAUGCCCGAUCUCCUCUGAUCUCGGAAGCUAAGCAGGGUUGGGCCUGGUUAGUACUUGGAUGGGAGACCACCUAGGAAGACCAGGUGCUGUAGGUG